CCUACGGGUGGCAGCAGUAAGGAAUAUUGGACAAUGGGCGGAAGCCUGAUCCAGCCAUCCCGCGUGCAGGACGACGGCCCUCUGGGUUGUAAACUGCUUUUGGAAGGGAAGAAACCUAUGCCUGCGGGCGUAGCUGACGGUACCUUCAGAAUAAGCACCGGCUAACUCCGUGCCAGCAGCCGCGGUAAUACGGAGGGUGCAAGCGUUAUCCGGAAUCACUGGGUUUAAAGGGUGCGUAGGCGGCUUUUUAAGUCAGUGGUGAAAUUCUACCGCUU
rnacentral:rRNA from 1 species